UAGCUUUCAAUUACAACUUAACAUUAGAAAUUGGCUUUAGUCACCACAUCUUUUCUGUCACUAAUCCUUUGUUUUUCGGUAGUUCCGUCAUUCAUCCUUUCAAAACUUGCUCCGACUUCGAAUUUCUUACAUAUAUCAAUGGGAAAUAGUGAAGCAAAACAGCAAGAACGUCGCAUGCAUUACGAAUUUCCGGCCUCUCAUCCUCCAAACACUUCACUUCCGAGCCAUGAUCAUACUCGCUAUACGAAUAGUAGCCAGGUCAAACUAACUAAUGCGUCUGGAGCUGAAGCUGGGCAGAUUGGAACGGCACAAGUGCACAAGGAAGAGAUGAAUUUGGAAGACAAUGAUGCAUUUUCUGACUACAUUAACCGCACGAAAUUUAAGAUCAGAGCUACGACCUCCAAUAUUGAUCCCGAGAAUGUUGCAUCCACAGCAGAUGGUGUUUAUGAAACAGAGCAAGAAGAUAAUGAGUAUGAAAUGUUUACGGAUUUUGUCAACCACUCUAAGUUUAAGAUUAGAAAGACAUCCAGCAUCGGAAGUAGAAACAACAUCUCCUUUAAGAAGUAGGAGACUGAAAUUCUGCAACCAUAUGUGUUCUGGUGAUUGCCGGCAUAUUUAUGGAUUGUGUUCUCCCUCUUUAAUUCUUUUAUCAUAUUUACGUCCUGGAUACACAGGUUAUGUAAUGUUGUUGAAUAGUCCUCUAUGUAUUUCUCAGUCAAUGAUAUCGAAUCAUUCUUUUUCAUGUGUUUCUAGAGCCCAUUUGCUAAAAGUGUGACUUAUAUGCAUUGCAGCAAGCUUCCUUGACAAUUGGAAUCUGUUUCUUUACCUCUUCGAAAGGCGAUAGUUUAAAAGGCGAGACUCCUUUGCAUAGCUAGCUAAGCAAAGAUAGAUGUUUGGAAAAAGCUCAACCAUGAAGUGCUUCUGCAUCUCAAUUUUUGUACGCGCUAAUUGGACCGAGAUAAAACAAAACAAAUCCAACCUAUGUUACAUAUGCAGGGUUUAUUCAAUUCAGGCAAUAAAACAUCUAAAUAAUAUUCUAGUUGGUACGCACUUGCUGGAUCCCACUUUUAUGAAAAAAUUAUGGGCUAAGAAGCUGGGAAUAUGAUUCCCAUACAUCACUUCAAUUGAAGAAAUUUCUCCCUUAUGAGCAAUUUUUUGCUAUUCAGCCAUAGUGGGUUUCCCUUCAUUUCUGUGUGUAUCUUUCAGUUUUCGACCAAGGAUCGCAAGGACAUGCUCUCGAGAUUUCUCUUUACCUCAUCUCUUAAACUUAGUACAAGCUUGCUAUCAAUUUAAUUUCUAACAUAAUAAUGGGAAAGAGUUAUAGCAUAGCAGAUGCUGGAGCACCGCAGCAUUUGUUGGUUGGUUGGAUAGUACAGAGACCUUGACAAUGCUUUGUGGUUGGUUUGCAGAUUUUCAUGGCAGAUGCUGGAGCACCGCAGCCGACACCGUGAAUUGGUCAAUGACAGACUAGUUUCUUUAGGGCAGUUGUAUCGUUAUACUGUGGGUUCACUUUUGAAACUUUGACUUUGAACUAGUAAAUGUCAGAUUUUCGGUAGGCUGGUUAACCGUAGGGUUUCUGAAUUCGUGUUGUUCUUAAUUAAUGGAUAUGCUCUUAUUAGUAGCUUGGCACAUUGUGUUCAUGUUGAUGCAUUCAGGAGGAGCCGUUACAGCACAUAGCAACUAGCAUGGAAGAAAAAGUACAAAAAUGAAUGCGACUGGAAAAUGACAAUAAAAUAUGUUUUAUGUUGAAAUACGAUGACUUUUAGCAAUUUUUGUUAAAAUGCGAAUUUUUACCACUUAUUGAGUCUAUAUAGCAUUUUUUUUAAUACAAAAUUUUAAAGUUGAAGGAUAAAAGAAUCGAUACGAAAAUUCUAGCAAGUCAUAAAACAUCUUUGCAAAAUGUGGAGAAUGAUUACCUUUCUACACAGCAUAUAGUGAGUGAGGAACGUACAAGAGAAAUGCAAGAGGAGAAGGUAGCUCACAUUCCUCGUAAUGUCUUGAAUGAAUUUUAAAAAGUUUAGUGACACAAAAAUACCACAAAAAUUACAAAAUAAGUUUAGUUUUCCUAAUUAAAUCACAAUAUGGUGUAUGCAGAACUUCGCUAAACUGAUUAAAAACACUCACUGAUUUUGAGAAAAAUUUAAUAAACCAUGAGAUUAAUGAAAUAACCUAGAAGUUUUUUUUUAUCGAAUAGACUUUCUAUCAUCUUGAACUUCUCCACAAAAAGACUGCUGUCGUAGAAUUUCGCAAAAUUGAUUAAAAACGGGAAUUAUUUUUUACAGAUUUUUUGUGCAAAUAUUUCUUACAAAUUUUGUGAAAGGUACAGAAGGACAUUAUAGUUUUGGCAGCUUUUCAAGGAAAUGUUUUUAGUAAAAUCAAGUUGGAUUGCUUAUUUUCCUUGUGUUAUUUGGUAGAUGAAUGCAUUAAAUAGGUUGGUUGUUUCCCACCAGAAAUCCAUGAUGCUUGUUUUAGACUUUGAACUAUAAAAACAAUGGAUUAAAGGGAAAUUUUAUUUGAACCAUGUAACCUCUUUUUACACCCAACUUAAAUUUAAAUUAUUAAUUGUCUAUUUUACCCUUUUGCAUAAUUACUAUUAAGUACAAAAUGAAAUUAAUAAUAAAACUCAAAUUUAUCAAUAAACCCAUUAAACCCUUCCAUCAGUUCUUGUUUAUCAUACGUUCAUUCUAGCUAAAACCCUAAUAGGUCUUGUAGAGAAAAACAAGUUUUUUUUUAUUGAUGGAUGGUGAUUUUGUAGUUUUGAAUCCUCCAACUAAGGUAUGACUCAAUUUAUGAAUAUUUUGUUUGUUUGAUUUCAAUUUUUUUAAAGUUUAGAAGAUGAGUAUUUGGGUUUCAAUUUUUUCAUCAAUCCCGAAUGGUUUGUUAAACUUUUUGCAAUUGGAAAAUUCUAAGAAAAACUUCUUACUAAUGUUCUUAGAUUAUAAACUUCCUUACUUGUUGAUAAAUAGAAGGGGAUGAAUUGUUUGAUUUGUUGCUUAUGCACAUUAGUAGAAAGAAAAAAGGCAAAUAUCUGGCUUUGGUAGCAGAAAGAAAAAAAAAAAGUAGUCAUGGAAAUGCUAGUGGGAAGAGGGGGUGGGGCAAGGACACCUUUUUAAAAAUAAAAAAUAAAAACAAUUCAAUUACAGAUGUUAUUUUAUAAAGGAAAUGGGUGUAAAGAUAACUUAACAUUUUGAAUUGGGUUUGAUAGGGUAGUUUAGGUAAUAAAUUUGGGUUUAAAGAGAGAUUAAUUCUUCAAUAAAAAACAAUAUGGGUGAAGAGAGUAAAUUGGGUGUGGAAAGAGGUUACAUGGGUUCAAAUAAAAUUUCCCUUAUUAUAUUAGCAUAUUCAUAAUUAUUUUUAAAGGUCGCCAAUUUGGAAGAGCUAGGGUUUCUGUAUGUGCCAAAGUUUCAUUCUUACCAUACUAUAUUCUCUAUGCUUUUUACCUAAACUUUUCGUUGCUUUUGGAAGCUAAUUAAUUAAUUAUGCUUUGAUAUAAUGUUAAUAUAUAGCAUAAUCCCUUCAAAUGCUAGUUGUUUAGUGCUGUGUAUAUAAGUUGUGUUUAAAGCAGGAUUUUAAUUUCAAAACCAAGGACAAUUGGAGCUGAAAUAUCGUGAGAAUAUUUUCCAAACAUCUCAUCCUUUAGAAAGAAAAAAAAUAAUGAGAAAGAAGUUCUUCCUUCAUUAGGAAUCUAAACCAAACUUCUCCCUUUAUUUAUGCAGAAAAAUCAAUUACUAAUUUCCACACAAGGAAUUUUCUCCUUAAAUUCUCAUUCAUGCAGACUAUAAAUAUCGACCACUCUAGCUUCAAUUACAACUUAACCUUAGAAAUUGUCUCUAGUCACCUAUUGGAAGCAACUUUGUGUCAAUCACAACUUUGUGUCAAUCAACUUUGUGUCAAUCACAACUUUGUGUCAAUCAACUUUGCGUCAACUUUGUGUCAAUCAACUUUGUGUCAACUCCUUAAUUCAAGGAGCUUGUCUUCCCUAAACCAUUUGGUCGGUUGUCUUCCCUAAGCCACCUUUGUGGUGUAAAUCAAGGGGUCAAUCUCCUUAUAUAUUGUUGUACAAUUGUAAUGAUAUUAUGAUGAAAAUACAAAACAUACUUUGAAAAUCAACAUGGUAUCAGAGCAGGAAAUCUAACCUGCCUCUGCUCUACUACUAUCUGAGGGUGUUCAAUCUUCAAAAUGACUGAAGACAAUUCGUUAGGAUCAGAAGUUGAAAGUUCACAUGUGAUUUCCUCCAUGACUGUGCAUGAGGUGGAUGUCAACCCAAAUCAAAGAUUAAGCUUAGUUGUGUUGAAUGAGUUUAAUUACUUGCCUUGGUCGAGAGCAGUGUCUCUGGCUCUAGGUGGAAGAUCCAAGUUAGUGUUCAUAAAUGGAAGCAUCAAAGUACCUGAUGCUUCCUCACCAACCUAUGAAUCCUGGCUUAGCAAGGAUCAUCUAGUUAUGUCAUGGCUCUUGAAUUCCAUGGAACGGAAAUUAGCUUAAAUAUUUAGUUACUCUGAAUCUUCAUACCAGCUAUGGGAGGCGGUCAAGGAAAUGUAUGGCAGCCAGAACAAUGUUGCAAGGGUUUUCCAAUUAAAGAAGGACAUCUCCGAUCUGCAACAAAACGGCAAGCUGUUUGUGCAACUCCUAGGAAGCAUGAAAAGCAUGUGGAAUGAGUUGGAAAUUUAUCGCCCUCAUACAACCGACGCAGCACUGCUACGAAAGAGAGCAGAAGAAGACAAGAUAUUUCAACUCUUAUCCAGUCUCGAUUCAACGUAUGAAGAUCUACAAUGUCACAUACUCAUGAACAAUGAACUUCCUUCCUUCACCAGUGUAUGUGCAACAAUCCAACGUGAAAAAGUAAGGAGGAAAGUUAAAAUCAUGGGUAUAAUGGCCAGUGUACCUGAGGCUAGGGCCUAUUUAACCAACAAGAGAAAGUACAAAGGAAAGCAUCUAAACUUGAAGUGUCAACACUGCAACAAUAUAGGUCAUGUUAAAGACACAUGCUGGAUUUUACACCCAGAAUUAAAGCCUGACUUCAUGAAGGACAACAAGGGUUUACAAAGGGUGAAUCGUACUACACCGCGCAAAUCAUGCGUCUGCCUCUAACUCUGAUAAAUUCAAGAACUUCACAGCGAAUCCAGCUGAACUCAUGAAUGAGUUUAUGUUUUACCUUUAAGGCAAGAAAGGAGGGGCUGGAAUUGACCGUGCAGACAACAUAGCAGAAGGGAACACGACGGCAUUGCUUGGCAAGUUUGCGGGUUUCUUGGCAGACACGAAACCCGUACCCCAAGAGAACAUGCAAGGUAUCAUGAAAGCCUUUAAAACUACUCUUAAAAUAAAUUUGUUGCAUGAUUUUUGGGUUUUAGAUUCGGGUGCCACAAAUCAUAUGACUAACCAUGUGUCUAAGUCUCAAAAGUUUGAAAAAUUCACUAAUCCUUCCCAAGUUUCAAUUGCAAAUGGUGAGAGUGUAAAGGUUUUAGGAAAGGAAAAAAUAAAAAUAAUGUCAGAUGAAAUUGAAUCAAUGGCUUUGUAUGUACCUUCCUUCCCAUUUCAACUUCUAUCUGUGGGAAAGAUUACAAAUACCUUGAAUUGCUUAGCUAUAUUUUCUCCUCACAAUGUCAUCUUUCAGGACUGUGCCACCAAGAAGACGAUUGGUGAAGGGUUUUAUUUAGAAGGUCUCUAUUACAUAUCAAAAGCAAUCCCAGAGGGUUCCAAGCCAAGUUCAAUCCCAUUCAAGAUAAUCAAUUGUGGCAUCAACGUUUAGCUCACCCUUCUCCACCCAUUUUGUCAACUUUAUUUCCAAACUUAGGGAAUGAUGCUAUUUCAUGUGAAACAUGCCACUUGUCUAAGGCCACUAGAUUAUCUUUUAACUCUUCCUUGUCCAGGGCUAGUAAGUGUUUUGAACUAGUUCAUUCAAAUGUAUGGGGACCAACUAGUGAAUCUUUUGAUGGUUAUAAGUAUUUUGUGAUCUUUGUUGAUGAUUUCUCUCGAGUCACAUGGUUGUAUCUUCUAAAGUCUAAGAAUGAAGUUAUGGAAGUAUUUAAGGACUUUCAUAACCUUGUUAAAAACCAUUUCUCCUCUCAAAUUCAAACAUUAAGGUCUGACAAUGGCACCAAAUAUAUGUCCCAUAUCAUGAAACAAUAUUUAAGCACUCAUGGCAUCAUGCAUCAAACAAGUUGUGUUGGCACACCUCAACCAAAUGGUGUAGCCGAACGCAAAAACCGUGACUUACUUGAAAAAACAAGAGCACUAAUGCUACAAAUGAAUAUACCAAAGAAAUUUUGGUCCCAAGGGGUUAUGGCAUUUGCUUAUAUCAUCAAUAGAUUACCCAGUCGAGUCUUGGAUUUCAAGUCUCCCCUAGAGGUCAUGAAAGGAAGUAAAAUUGAUCUCUUACACCUUCGAGUUUUUGGCUGCAUCUGUUUUGUGCAUAUUCAAUCUCAUCACCGAGAUAAAUUGGAUCCUAGAGUUGUUAAAUAUAAUUUUCUUGGUUAUUCAUCUACACAAAAGGGAUAUAAGUGUUAUAAUCCUCAACUAAGAAGAUUGAUUGUGUCCAAAGAUGUUCGAUUCCAUGAAACUAAUCCUUUUUUCAGCAAGUCACAUGAAAUCACAAGUCAAGCGGAUGACAUCUUGGAUAUGUUCUCACUACCAAGAAUCGAACUUGAGGCUCCUCAACAACAAGAUCCCAGUCAUGUCAACAUUGAUGCAUAUCUCAAUGAAAGUAGCAAUGAAGGGUCUCACUCUAAUGGUACACGGCAUGAAGAUGGUGAUAAUUAAGAUGACCCUCACAAUACGGUCCAAAAUGUGAACGAGUGUGAGACAACUCUUCCUGCUCCUCGACGCAAUCCAAUGCGUGUUAGGAAAACUCCCACAAGACUUCAAGACUUUGUCAUCUACAAACCCACACAUCCCAUCUCCCAAUAUGUGUCGUACAAGAGAGUGACACCAGCCCAUGCUGCAUUCCUAAACACCAUAUCAAGUUACAAGGAGCCUCAUAUUUUCCAUGAGGCCAACAACCAAGAGGUUUGGAAGGAAGCAAUGCAAGAAGAACUUAAAGCUCUAGAUCAACACAACACCUGGAGUAUCACCAAACUUCCCAUAGGCAAGAAAGUUGUGGGUUGCAAAUGGAUUUAUAAACUCAAAUUCAAGUCAGAUGGAUCAAUUGAAAGACAUAAAGCAAGAUUGGUAGCUCAGGGAUUCACUCAAACAUACGAGGUGGAUUACAAAGAAACGUUUGCACCUGUUGCCAAAAUGAACACCGUGAGAGUGCUAUUGUCCGUGGCAGUAAACAAAGGGUGGUCCAUGUACCAAAUGGAUGUGAAGAAUGCAUUCUUGCACGGAGAUCUCAAAGAAGAGGUCUAUAUGAAAUUGCCACCAGGGCAUCCUCAAAGCAAUGAACCGAAUUUGGUGUGCAAAUUGCACAAAUCCAUUUAUGGCCUGAAACAAUCUCCACGAGCAUUGUAUGCCAAACUAAGCUCAGUUCUCACUAGUGUUGGUUUCAUAAGCAGCAAUGCCGAUUCAUCACUAUUUGUUCGCACAUAAGCUGUGGGCAAAUUGGUUGUGCUGAUCUAUGUUGAUGAUCUGAUAAUUACGGGUGAUAAUGCUGACGAGAUCCUCAACCUCAAACAGUCCCUCAAACAAAGGUUUGCAAUUAAAGACCUUGGGAUAUUGAAGUACUUCCUUGGUAUAGAAGUGGUAACCUCGCACAAGGGGCUGUUUCUUAACCAAAGAAAGUAUGUCUUGGAUUUGCUCAAGGAAGCCAACAUGAGCGAUGCUAAACCGGCCAUUACUCCUCUCGACAGCAAGCAUAAACCUAGCUUGAAGGCCACGCCACUCACGGAUAUCAGCCAUUAUCAGCGAUUGGUGGGUAAGUUAAUCUACCUAACAAUCACUAGACCCGACAUCACAUAUUAUGUAAGUCUUGUGAGCCAAUUCAUGCACUCCCCGACUCUUGAGCAUUUGACCCUUGUUAAAAGGAUCUUACGCUACUUAAAAUGAUCGGUGGGUCGUGGAAUCCUUAUGUAGAAGAAUGACAACACACAAAUCAUGGGAUAUUGUGAUGUUGAUUGGGCGGGGAAUGCCAUCGAUCGCAAGUCCACAACUGGCUACUGUACUUUUGUCGGUGGAAACUUGGUCACAUGGAAAAGUAAAAAGCAAACUGUUAUAGCCAGGUUAAGUGCCGAAGCUGAGUAUCGUGCCAUGGCUUCAACUGCGUGUGAGUUGAUCUGGCUCAAGGGGCUUUUGUGCGAUUUAGGUGUUCCUACAACUCUUCCUAUGUCCUUAUUUUGUGACAAUCAGGCAGCCAUGCGUAUAGCAUCAAACCCAGUGUUUCAUGAGUGGACGAAACACAUUGAAGUUGACUGCCAUUACGUUCGAGAACAGGUGCAGUCGCAGGUGAUUCAGACACACUAUACAAGAAGCUUCGACCAACUGGCCGACAUCUUCACAAAGCCUUUGGCUUCUCAUCAGUUUCAGCGACUUCUGUCCAAGCUUGGAUCCAUAAACCUCCUGGAUCUAGCUUGAGGGGGCGUAUUGGAAGCAAUUUUGUGUCAAUCACAACUUUGUGUCAAUCAACUUUGUGUCAAUCAACCUUGUGUCAACUUUGUGUCAAUCAACUUUGUGUCAACUCCUUAAUUCAAGGAGCUUGUCUUCCCUAAACCAUUUGGUCGGUUGUCUUCCCUAAGCCACCUUUGUGGUGUAAAUCAAGAGGUCAAUCUCCUUAUAUAUUGUUGUACAAUUGUAAUGAUAUUAUGAUGAAAAUACAAAACAUACUUUGAAAAUCAAUAUCACCACAUCUUUUCCCUCACUAAUCUGUUGUUUUUCUGUGAACUCAUUUUCCAAAACUUGCUCCGUUUUCGAAUUUCUUACAAAUAUCAAUGGGAAAUAGUCAAGCAAAACAGCAAGAACGCCGCAAGCAUUACGAAUUUCCGGCCUCUCAUUCUCCAAACACUUCACUUCUGAGCCAUGAUCAUACUCGCUAUUCGAAUAGUAUCCAGGUCAAACUAACUAAUGUGUCUGGAGAUGAAGCUGUGCAGACUGGAACUGCACGAGUGCACAAGGGGGAGAUGAGAAUGGAAGGCAAUGAUGCAUUUUCUGACUACAUUAAUCGCACGAAAUUUAAGAUCAGACCUACGACCUCCAAUGUUGGUCUCGAGAAGGUUGCAUCCAUAGCAAAUGGUGUUUGUGAAACAAAGCAAGAAGAUAAUGAAUAUGAAAUGUUUACGGAUUUUGUCAAUCGCUCUAAGUUUAAGAUUAGAAAGACAUCCAGCAUCGGGAGCAGAAACAACAUCUCCUUUAAGAAGUAGGAGACCCAAAUUCUGCAACCACAUGAGUGGUGGUGAUUGCCGGCAUGUUCAUGGAUUAUGUUCUCCCUCUUUAAUUCUUUCUCAUAUUUACGUCCUGGAUACACAGGUUAUAUGAUGUUGUUGAUAAUAUAACGUGUAUGUAUUUCUCAGUCAAUAAUAUUAAAUCAUUCUUCUUUCAUGUGUUUCUAGAGCCCAUUAUAAAUAUGCUAUUUUCGAGCAAUCUUAGCGAAUGCAGGUAACGAUGAUGUUAGAAUGAAAAAAUAUCCCAUCAGUUUACCCACGUAAUUAGGGAUCUUUAAUACAUACGCCUAUAAAUCAUAGGACAGAGAUGAGGAGAUCCAUCCAUGAGAGGGUGACAAUUGUUCUCUGAGAUGAUAGUCUGUAGGUUCCAUCUUAGGAGAAAUUUUUAGUUGUGAUGGGAAUACAGAUGGUACAUCACGUGUUUUUAUGUAAGCGGUGAAAGUUUUUAAUUUUUAAGUUAUUAACAUUUUAACACACAUAUCCCACCAUUUAUAUAAAGACACAUGGUGUACCACCUCAUGUGACGGUCAUACUGAAAAAUCCCUUCCAUCUUAAGACUGCUACUGUAAAAUUUCCUUAGUAAUGACACGAUGAUUGGCAUACGGUUACUAAGAAAACAUCUUUCUAGAAAGAAAAUCUUCUCUGUAGAAUAAAGUUAAAAUGUCUUUUUCCCUUUCACAAUUUUCCAUGCGUUCUAGAUCACAGAAUUUACUCAUUUAGUAGAUAUUGUUUGUUGAGAACAGCGAAUUUAAUGGACAUGCUAUUAUUAGUAGCUUGGCACAUUGUUUUCCAGUUGAUGCGUUCAGGAGAAACCGUUACAGUUUUAGCAUGAAGCAUUCUAGCAUGGAAGAAAAGGAACAAAAAAAUGCAUCUGGAAAAUCACAUUAAGAUAUGUUUUAUGUUGAAAUACGAUGUCGAGUAUUUGCAAGGUUAUGUUAAAAUAUGAAUUUUAUCAUAUAUUGAGUCUAAAAAGGGUGACUUAAGCCAACAAGGCUCACAUGACAUAAUGAGUGGGGAAGGUACAAAGGAAAAGGCAAGAUGAGAAGAUAGCUAGCAUUCCUCGUAAUGUAUUGAAUGAAUUUUAAAAAGUUUAGUGAUGCAAAAAUACCACAAAAACUAUAAAAUAAGUUAGUUUUCCUAAUAUUUUUUUUUUGUUGAAAUUUUCCUAAAUUACAAUAAUGCAUAUAUGCAGAACUUUGCUAAACUGAUUAGAAGGACUCGCUGAUUUUGAUAAAAAUGUAAGGGCAACUUACACUUUACAACCUCAGGUUUAGGGUCUAUAACUGUAUACAACAUCUUCAAAACGCAUUCAAUGCCAUACAUCAACUACAAUUUUAUUUCAAUAUAAUACCUCCAUUAGAUUUUCAUCCAAUCCUCCAUUAAAAGCUAACGUGGCAGCAUGAUGUCUACUGUCAUGUCAACUUUUAAUGGAGGAUUGGAUGGAAAACCUAAUGGAUGUAUUAUAUUGAAAUAAAACAGUACAUGAUGUGUGAGAGUGAAAUAUUUUAAAGAUGUUGUAUAAGGUUGCAAUAGACCCCAAACCUGAAAAGAUAGAGUGUAAUUUAGCCAACAUGUAAUAAACCAUGCUAUUAAUAAAAUAACCCAUAAGUAUUUUUUUAUUAAAUUCAAAUUGGAAAAAAAGAAAAAUCCAAUAAAAUAAAAUAAUAGCAGGGAUCAUAUAACAUAGCCAUAGGACUUCCGUCAUCUUGAACAUCACCACAAUUUUCUUUGUGUGAUUUAGCAGAUGAAUACAUUGAAUCGUUUGGUUGUUUCCCACCAGAAAUCCAUCCUGCUUGUUUAAGAUUUUGAACUAUUAAACAAUGGAUUAUUAAUAUCCAAGGUCGCCAAUUUGGAAGAGCGAGGGUUUCUCCAUGUGCCAAAGUUUCAUUUUUCAACUACCAUCCAAGAUUCUCUAUCUUUCCUGCAUCAACUUUUCAUUGCUUUUGGAAAUUAAUUAAUUAAUUAAGCUUUGAUAUAAUUUUAAUAAAUAGCUGGCCAAGAUAUUAAUUACAUAAUCCUUUUCAAUUGCUACUUUGCUAGUGGCUUAGUGCUGUAUUAAUUAGUUGUGUUUAAAGCAGGAUUUAAUUUCAAAACCUUAGAAAAUUGGAGCCGAAAUAACGUGGGAAUAUUUUCGAAACAUCACAUUCUUUAGAAAAAAAUAUUGAGAAAGUUCUUCCUUCAUUAGGAAUCUAAGCCAAACUUCUCCCUUCAAUUCUGCAGAAAAAUCAAUUACUUUCCACACAAGGAACUUUCUCCUUAAACUUUCAUUCAUGCAGACUAUAAAUAUCGACCUCUCUAGCUUUCAAUUACAACUUAACCUUGGAAAUUGUCUUUAGUCACCACAUCUUUUCCCGCACUAAUCGGUUAUUUCUCUGUAGUUCCGUCACUCAUAUUUCCAAAACUUGCUCAGUUUUUCGAAUUUCUUACAUAUAUCAAUGGGAAAUAGUCAAGCAAAACAGCAAGCACGCCGCAAGCAAUUCGAAUUUCCCGCCUCUACUGCUCCAAACACUUCACUUCCGAGCCAUGAUCAUACUCGCUAUUCGAAUAAUAUCCAGGUCAAACUAACCGAUGUGUCUGGAGCUGAAGCUGCGCAGACUAGAACGGCACAAGUGCACGAGGUAGAGAUGAGAAUGGAAGACAAUGAUGCAUUUUCUGACUACAUUAACCGCACAAAAUAUAAGAUCAGAGCUACGACCUCCAAUGCUGGUCUCGAGAAGGUUGCAUCCAUAGCAGAUGGUGUUUAUGAAACAAAGCAAGACGAUAAUGGAUAUGAAAUGUUUACGGAUUUUGUCAAUCGCUCUAAGUUUAAGAUUAGAAAGACAUCCAGCAUCGGAAGCAGAAACAACAUCUCCUUUAAGAAAUAGGAGACUCAAAUUCUACAACCACAUGUGUGUGGUGGUGAUUGCAAUCAUGUUCAUGGAUUGUGUUCUCCCUCUUUAAUUCUUUCUCAUAUUUACCUCCCGGAAUAAACAAGUUAUGUGAUGUUGUUGAAUUGUCAUGUACGUAUUUCUCAGUCAAUAAUAUUAAAUCAUUCUUUUUUCAUAUGUUUCUAAAGCUCAUGUGCUAUUAUAAAUCUACUAUUUUCUAGCAAUCUUAGUGAAUGCAGG
rnacentral:lncRNA from 1 species